rnacentral:rRNA from 1 species
AUUGAACGCUGGCGGCAUGCUUUACACAUGCAAGUCGAACGGUAACAGGGUGCUUGCACCGCUGACGAGUGGCGAACGGGUGAGUAAUGCGUCGGAACGUGCCGAGUAGUGGGGGAUAACGCAGCGAAAGUUGUGCUAAUACCGCAUACGUACUGAGGUAGAAAGUGGGGGACCUUCGGGCCGCACGCUAUUCGAGCGUCCGACGUCGGAUUAGCUAGUAGGUGAGGUAAAGGCUCACCUAGGCGACGAUCAGUAGCGGGUCUGAGAGGAUGAUCCGCCACACUGGGACUGAGACACGGCCCAGACUCCUACGGGAGGCAGCAGUGGGGAAUUUUGGACAAUGGGCGAAAGCCUGAUCCAGCCAUGCCGCGUGUCUGAAGAAGGCCUUCGGGUUGUAAAGGACUUUUGUCAGGGAGGAAAUCCCUAGUGCUAAUAACACUGGGGGAUGACAGUACCUGGAGAAUAAGCACCGGCUAACUACGUGCCAGCAGCCGCCGUAA